rnacentral:rRNA from 1 species
UACGUAGGGUGCAAGCGUUAAUCGGAAUUACUGGGCGUAAAGCGUGCGCAGGCGGUUGUGCAAGGCAGAUGGGAAAUCCCCGGGCUCAACCUGGGAACUGCAUUUGUGACUGCACGGCUAGAGUGCGGCAGAGUGAGAUGGAAUUCCGCGUGUAGCAGUGAAAUGCGUAGAUAUGCGGAGGAACACCGAUGGCGAAGGCAAUCUCCUGGGCCUGCACUGACGCUCAUGCACGAAAGCGUGGGGAGCAAACAGG